CCUGGAAACGGGUGGUAAUGCCGGAUGCUCCGGUUGGAUGCAUGUCCUUCCGGGAAAGAUUCCAUCGGUAUGGGAUGGGGUCGCGUCCUAUCAGCUUGAUGGCGGGGUAACGGCCCACCAUGGCUUCGACGGGUAGCCGGCCUGAGAGGGCGACCGGCCACAUUGGGACUGAGAUACGGCCCAGACUCCUACGGGAGGCAGCAGUGGGGAAUAUUGCACAAUGGGCGCAAGCCUGAUGCAGCGACGCCGCGUGCGGGAUGGAGGCCUUCGGGUUGUAAACCGCUUUUGAUCGGGAGCAAGCCCUUCGGGGUGAGUGUACCCUUCGAAUAAGCACCGGCUAACUACGUGCCAGCAGCCGCGGUAAUACGUAGGGUGCAAGCGUUAUCCGGAAUUAUUGGGCGUAAAGGGCUCGUAGGCGGUUCGUCGCGUCCGGUGUGAAAGCCCAUCGCUUAACGGUGGGUCUGCGCCGGGUACGGGCGGGCUGGAGUGCGGUAGGGGAGACUGGAAUUCCCGGUGUAACGGUGGAAUGUGUAGAUAU
rnacentral:rRNA from 1 species